GUCCUUUCGAUUUUUUGGAAGGUCUGACCUGCCCAGUGAUAGUAUUUAACGGCCGCGGUAUCUUGACCGUGCAAAGGUAGCAUAAUCAUUAGUCUUUUAAUAGGAGGCUGGUAUGAAAGGUUUAACGAAACAUGAGCUGUCUCAUUUGUAUCAUUGAAUUUAACUUCUAAGUUAAAAGGCUUAGAUUUUGUUGAUGGACGAGAAGACCCUAUAGAGCUUUACAUUGAUUAUUUUUAUAUUUUUUUGUUUGAUACUUUAAUAUAAUGAUAAUUAUUGUUUUGUUGGGGUGACAAAAAAUAUAUAAUUAACUUUUUUAUUUCAUUGACAUUAAUUUAUGUUUGAUUGGAUCCAUUAAUAUUGAUCAUUAGAAUAAGUUACCUUAGGGAUAACAGCGUAAUCUUCUUUCAGAGUUCAAAUUUACAAGAAGGCUUGCGACCUCGAUGUUGGAUUAAGAUUAUAGUUAGGUGCAGUAGCUUAAUUAAUAGGUCUGUUCGACCUUUAAAUUCUUACAUGAUCUGAGUUCAGACCGG
rnacentral:rRNA from 1 species